UACGGAGGGUGCAAGCGUUGUCCGGAAUCACUGGGCGUAAAGGGCGCGUAGGCGGCCUGGUAAGUAGGGGGUGAAAUCCUGCGGCUUAACCGCAGGGCUGCCUUCUAAACUGUCAGGCUUGAGCACGGUAGAGGCAGAUGGAAUUCCCGGUGUAGCGGUGGAAUGCGUAGAUAUCAGGAGGAAUACCGGUGGUGUAGACGGCUCUCUGGACCGUAACUGACGCUGAGACACGAAAGCGUGGGUAGCAAACAGG
rnacentral:rRNA from 1 species